AUUGAACGCUGGCGGCAUGCUUUACACAUGCAAGUCGAACGGUAACAGGCCGCAAGGUGCUGACGAGUGGCGAACGGGUGAGUAAUGCAUCGGAACGUGCCCAGUCGUGGGGGAUAACGCAGCGAAAGCUGCGCUAAUACCGCAUACGAUCUAUGGAUGAAAGCGGGGGACCGUAAGGCCUCGCGCGAUUGGAGCGGCCGAUGUCAGAUUAGGUAGUUGGUGGGGUAAAGGCUCACCAAGCCAACGAUCUGUAGCUGGUCUGAGAGGACGACCAGCCACACUGGGACUGAGACACGGCCCAGACUCCUACGGGAGGCAGCAGUGGGGAAUUUUGGACAAUGGGCACAAGCCUGAUCCAGCAAUGCCGCGUGCAGGAAGAAGGCCUUCGGGUUGUAAACUGCUUUUGUACGGAACGAAACGGUCUGGGUUAAUACCCUGGGCUAAUGACGGUACCGUAAGAAUAAGCACCGGCUAACUACGUGCCAGCCGCCGCAGUAACAC
rnacentral:rRNA from 1 species